rnacentral:lncRNA from 1 species
GAGGCCCUCUACUGGCUCCGAGACCAUCCAUUAUAAUCCAGGAAGGGUUCAAAAAGCACAUUCUUAUUGGUGAGUAAUCUUACACAUUCACCUUUAAUGCUUCUUUACACAGUGUGCAACACUCACUUGCCAAUGUAAAGAAUGCAUCAUUAUCAGUCAUUGAAUGUGAGGGAGAACACUUGUCUGCUCUGAGGUUGUUGUAUGAUAGGAGCAUCUGGUCUGUUUUUCAGGUGAGGCAGAAUUCAGCUCACGGGUGGAGCGGUUUAACGCCCCCACCACCUGUCCAGCCAGCCCUCUGCCAGGAAACUGGUGCCCCCGUACCCUCUCCAACGCCGUUACCAACUUACAGCUUAAACUUGAGGACAGUGAAACACCCAGCUCCAAGCAAGUCUCCUGCAUACGCCAGGAAAGGGAGGAGGAGCUGCGACUCUUAAGGGCCCAGCCAAUUGCAAAGAAUGUCUUUCUAAAUCAAAGAUUCUCUGAUUCCUCACUGACUGAGAGGGCGACCCCACCCGUCUCCUCAUCCUCCCCUCGGAUGAUGGUUGGCUAUAGCAGGAGACUGCAGUGGCCACCGUUCCAACCAUGGAAUGCAGACCUCAAUGUGACUGGUGAUGAACCUCUCUGGGUGAAGGACGGCAGCUUUACCGAGACUUCUGUCACUGCUAAGAUCCAUGGAGUGGAGCCUCCAAUCCAAGACAUUGAGGCUGAGCUGAGCUCUCAAGAUGAAACCAACACUGCUGAGAUGAUUGACCUGAUGUUUAAGGACAUGCUGGAGGCUUCUGCCCAGGGAAGGGAGAAGGAGGGCAAUGAGGAUUAUGACAGUGCCAUAGCCACAGUGAUGCGCAGAAAGGAGAAAACAGAGUUGGACAAGGAGAAAGCUGAGGAGGGUGAAGACCUGGAAGAGAUCAGGGAACUGGACUCCAGUGUAGAUGAGCUGCUGACCCUCCCACCCAGCUGCAUCCUCUCUCCUCUCAGCAGGUCUGUGGAAGCUGUGGUCACUCCAAUGGUAAGGCUCUGCAGACAGACAAAGGUUGCCAGGGUCACCUUGUUCAAUGUGAUUCUGAAAGUGUUGCCCUGCAGUUUUAAAGCUUGGAGUGUUUACACUUCCAAAUUGACAUCUAAGUGUUUUAAUAUCCCUGCAGAGACUUGCAGCUAG